rnacentral:rRNA from 1 species
GAUGAACGCUGGCGGCGUGCCUAAUACAUGCAAGUCGAGCGAACGGACGAGAAGCUUGCUUCUCUGAUGUUAGCGGCGGACGGGUGAGUAACACGUGGAUAACCUACCUAUAAGACUGGGAUAACUUCGGGAAACCGGAGCUAAUACCGGAUAAUAUUUUGAACCGCAUGGUUCAAAAGUGAAAGACGGUCUUGCUGUCACUUAUAGAUGGAUCCGCGCUGCAUUAGCUAGUUGGUAAGGUAACGGCUUACCAAGGCAACGAUGCAUAGCCGACCUGAGAGGGUGACGGGCCACAGGGGAACGGAGCCACGCUCCAACCUCCUGCGGGGGGAGGAAGAGGGGAACUUUCCGCAAGGGAGAAAGGCCGGAGGGGAAAGCGCGGGGGGAUGAAUAAGGUUUUCGGAAUCUAAAACCUUUUUUAUUAGGAAAAAAAAUUUGUGAAGUAAACGGUGCACAUCUUGAGGGAACUUAACCAAAAGCCCAGGGCUAGCUAGGUC